GAUGAACGCUGGCGGCGUGCCUAAUACAUGCAAGUCGAGCGAACGGACGAGAAGCUUGCUUCUCUGAUGUUAGCGGCGGACGGGUGAGCAACACGUGGAUAACCUACCUAUAAGACUGGGAUAACUUCGGGAAACCGGGGCUAAUACCGGAUGAUAUUUUGAACCGCAUGGUUCAAAAGUGAAAGACGGUCUUGCUGUCACUUAUAGAUGGAUCCGCGCUGCAUUAGCUAGUUGGUAAGGUAACGGCUUACCAAGGCAACGAUGCAUAGCCGACCUGAGAGGGUGAUCGGCCACACUGGAACUGAGACACGGUCCAGACUCCUACGGGAGGCAGCAGUAGGGAAUCUUCCGCAAUGGGCGAAAGCCUGACGGAGCAACGCCGCGUGAGUGAUGAAGGUCUUCGGAUCGUAAAACUCUGUUAUUAGGGAAGAACAUAUGUGUAAGUAACUGUGCACAUCUUGACGGUACCUAAUCAGAAAGCCACGGCUAACUACGUG
rnacentral:rRNA from 1 species